rnacentral:rRNA from 1 species
GAUGAACGCUGGCGGCGUGCUUAACACAUGCAAGUCGAACGAAGUGGCGAACGGGUGCGUAACGCGUAAUCAACCUGCCCUUCAGCGGGGAACAACAGUUGGAAACGACUGCUAAUACCGCAUUCUGAAGGUGGGGUUUGCGUCUGAUUAGCUAGCUGGUGGGGUAACGGCCCACCAAGGCGAUGAUCAGUAGCCGGUCUGAGAGGAUGGUCAGUCACACUGGAACUGAGACACGGUCCAGACUCCUACGGGAGGCAGCAGUGGGGAAUAGUGGACAAUGGGCGAAAGCCUGAUCCAGCCAUGCCGCGUGUGUGAAGAAGGUCUUCGGAUUGUAAAGCACUUUAAGUUGGGAGGCGUUACCAACAGAAUAAGCACCGGCUAACUUCGUGCCAGCAGCCGCGGUAAUAC